rnacentral:piRNA from 1 species
UAAUUGUGACUAAAUUUUUGA